GGGGGCGUUUGGAUUCGACUUCGGGAGGCAGAAUGUCGCCGCGUGCCGGAGAUGGGUGGUUGGCUCCGUCAAAAAUCUGCCCGAUUGUCUUAACUGGCAAGAACAAGAUCCGGGAUGGCAGGAACGCUUUCCGCCGCGCAGCCAAGCUGCCGGCGAAGUUGGCGGCCUGAACUCCCAAAACUGCCCCCCAGGGGGCACGCCGCAGCGGCCGAUGCUCGCUGAGCCGGUGCGGCGUAGGUCAGCGGGCAUGGGGAGGGGGUGUGCGGACCCUGCCCGUGAAAAAAGCACUCGCCGGGGAAAAUUCCGCGUCGCCGCGGGCUUGUCCGGCUAAACCAAUCCGGCGACUACGCACGUAGCAGGGGGCAUUCGAGAGCCCGGAGGACGUGGGUUCGACUCCCACCGCCUCCACCA
rnacentral:tmRNA from 1 species